UACGGAGGGUGCAAACGUUGCUCGGAAUCAUUGGGCGUAAAGCGCACGUAGGCGGCCUGUUAAGUCGGAUGUGAAAGCCCUCGGCUCAACCGGGGAAGUGCACUCGAAACUGCAUGGCUAGAGUCUUGGAGAGGAUCGUGGAAUUCUCGGUGUAGAGGUGAAAUUCGUAGAUAUCGAGAGGAACACCGGUGGCGAAGGCGGCGAUCUGGACGAUGACUGACGCUGAGACGCGAAAGCGUGGGGAGCAAACAGG
rnacentral:rRNA from 1 species